GCGACAAAAUGUUCCUCGUUUUCCUCUUUUGGCCUAACCCCUCCUUUUUUUGUUCCAAACUUCCCAAAUUUCAAUGCUUCAGAGCUACUAAGUAGGACAGGAACGAUAAUCGGCCUUCCCUCAAUCGACAUUAGGGUUUGAAAUGCUUCCAACAAAUCUGUUUUCUUGUUCAACACUUUGCGGUCAACUGCCACCUAAUUUUUUCAACUCUCGAGUAAAUCAGAUGCAGAUUCAACUUAAAUCAAGGAAGGUUGUGCAAAAGCUAGAUAAAGGUCUCAGAGAAAUAAAGAAGUUUUUAGGAGAAAGAUGAUUUUAGAGAUCCUAGUUGGUAAAUGGACGUCAGUCAAGGCAAUUCCAUCAAAGAGAAAACAAGUGGAAGGAACUCACAAAAGAGAAAUAAGUUACAACAUUGAUUAGAUUGCAUAGUACUUUUCAAGAUAAUCACAUUUUUAUUGUAGAACAUAUUAGUUCAUCAUAAAUGCGACAAAAAAUAGUCUUUGUCCCAAAUUGCCUCAUCAGUAAUACAGUAUUUUUUUUUACUAUUGAA